rnacentral:rRNA from 1 species
CAUUAUUGAAUACUCUUGAUGGGUUGUAGCUGGCUCUUCGGGGCAUGUGCACGCCUGUCUUGACUUUAUUCAUCCACCUGUGCACCUUUUGUAGUCUUGGAGGUUGAGAGCAGUCGACUAUCGGAUACUUUCCGGAUGUGACGAAUUGCUGAGUGCGAAAGCAUACAGCUCUUCUCAAAUGACUUGCAACACUUCUCCUUCAAGUACUAUGUAUUCAUAUACCACAUAGUAUGUUGUAGAAUGUGAUCAAUGGGCUUAUAUGCCUAUAAUAAUCAUAUACAACUUUCAGCAACGGAUCUCUUGGCUCUCGCAUCGAUGAAGAACGCAGCGAAAUGCGAUAAGUAAUGUGAAUUGCAGAAUUCAGUGAAUCAUCGAAUCUUUGAACGCACCUUGCGCUCCUUGGUAUUCCGAGGAGCAUGCCUGUUUGAGUGUCAUUAAAUUCUCAACCCCUCCAGCUUUUGCGAGCUGUGAUGGGGCUUGGAUGUUGGGGGUUUGCGGGCCUUACAAAGGUCGGCUCUCCUGAAAUACAUUAGCGGAACCGUUUGCAGUCCCGUCACUAGUGUGAUAAUUAUCUACACUGUGAUGAUUGCUCUCUGACUAGUUCAGCUGCUAAUCGUCCACUAUCGGACAAUAUUUAAUGAACUUCUUGACCUCAAAUCAGGUAGGACUACCCGCUGAACUUAAGCAUAUCAAUAAGCGGAGGAAAAGAAACUAACAAGGAUUCCCCUAGUAACUGCGAGUGAAGCGGGAAAAGCUCAAAUUUAAAAUCUGGCGGUCUCUGGCCGUCCGAGUUGUAAUCUAGAGAAGUGAUGCCCGCGCUGGACCGUGUACAAGUCUCCUGGAAUGGAGCGUCAUAGAGGGUGAGAAUCCCGUCUCUGACACGGACUACCAGGGCUUUGUGGUACGCUCUCAAAGAGUCGAGUUGUUUGGGAAUGCAGCUCUAAAUGGGUGGUAAAUUCCAUCUAAAGCUAAAUAUUGGCGAGAGACCGAUAGCGAACAAGUACCGUGAGGGAAAGAUGAAAAGAACUUUGGAAAGAGAGUUAAACAGUACGUGA